CGUGUAGGCGGUCCGGUAAGUCCGCUGUGAAAGUCGGGGGCUCAACCCUCGAAAGCCGGUGGAUACUGUCGGGCUCGAGUGCGGGAGAGGCGAGUGGAAUUCCUGGUGUAGCGGUGAAAUGCGCAGAUAUCAGGAGGAACACCGAUUGCGAAGGCAGCUCGCUGGAACGUUACUGACGCUGAGACGCGAAAGCGUGGGGAGCAAACA
rnacentral:rRNA from 1 species